rnacentral:rRNA from 1 species
UCAAGUGACUAAGUGCAUGCGGCGGAUGCCUUGGCGAUCACAGGCGAAGAAAGACGCGGCAGCCUGCGAAAAGCUGCGGGGAGCUGGCAAACGAGCUUUGAUCCGCAGAUAUCUGAAUGGGGGAACCCACACCGCAAGGUGUAUCCGUAGCUCAAUACAUAGGUUACGGAGGCGAACGAGGAGAACUGAAACAUCUAAGUAUCCUCAGGAAAAGAAAUCAACCGAGAUUCCGGCAGUAGCGGCGAGCGAACCCGGAGGAGCCUAGCUUUUGAUAGUACGAACUUUAGCCGAAAGGUCCUGGAAAGGCCUGCUAUAGUGGGUGAUAGCCCCGUAGGCGAAAGAGUUGGUACGGUACUAAGGAAGCGAGAAGUAGAGCGGGACACGUGGAAUCCUGUUCGAAGACGGGGGGACCAUCCUCCAAGGCUAAAUACUCGUGAUCGACCGAUAGUGAACCAGUACCGUGAGGGAAAGGCGAAAAGAACCCCGGGAGGGGAGUGAAAUAGAACCUGAAACCGCAUGCAUACAAACAGUAGGAGCCUUUACGGAGGUGACUGCGUACCUUUUGCAUAAUGGGUCAGCGACUUACAUUCUGUGGCGAGCUUAACCGAAUAGGGGAGGCGCAGCGAAAGCGAGUUCGAAAUGAGCGUCCAGUCGCAGGGUGUAGACCCGAAACCAGAUGAGCUAUCCAUGGCCAGGUUGAAGGUGUGGUAACACACACUGGAGGACCGAACCGACUAGUGUUGCAAAAUUAGCGGAUGAGCUGUGGAUAGGGGUGAAAGGCCAAACAAAUCUGGAGAUAGCUGGUUCUCCCCGAAAACUAUUGAGGUAGUGCCUCGUGUGUCGCUCCAGGGGGUAGAGCACUGUUUUGGCUAGGGGGACAUGGAGUCUUACCAAACCAAGGCAAACUCCGAAUACCUGGAAGCGUAAGCACGGGAGACAGAGCACCGGGUGCUAACGUCCGGACUCAAAAGGGAAACAACCCAGACCGCCGGCUAAGGUCCCAAAUAACAGCUAAGUGGAAAACGAAGUGGAAAGGCCGUGACAACCAGGAAGUUGGCUUAGAAGCAGCCAUCCUUCAAAGAAAGCGUAAUAGCUCACUGGUCGAGUCCUUCUGCGCGGAAGAUGUAACGGGGCUAAGCUGUUAACCGAAGCCGCGGAUGCGCUGGUUAUCCAGUGCGUGGUAGGGGAGCGUUCUGUAAGUCUGCGAAGGCGGUUCGAGAGGACUGCUGGAGAUAUCAGAAGUGCGAAUGCUGACAUGAGUAACGUUAAAGCAGGUGAAAAGCCUGCUCGCCGUAAGCCCAAGGAUUCCUGCUCUACGUUCAUCGGAGCAGGGUGAGUCGGCUCCUAAGGUCAGGCCGAAAGGCGUAGCCGAUGGGAAUCAGGUUAAUAUUCCUGAACCUGCGUCAGAUGCGAUGGGGGGACGGAGCAUGGAAGAUCAUCCGGGUGUUGGAAGUCCCGGUUGUUGAGCGUAGGAGGUCUGCAGGCAAAUCCGCAGACGCAUCUCCAAGGCAAAGACACGUGCCGCCACGGCGGCGAAGUGAUCGGAAGUGCUUCCAAGAAAAGCCUCUAAGCCCCAGUCUGAUGCGGACCGUACCGCAAACCGACACUGGUGGGCGAGCUGAAUAUGCUCAGGCGCUUGAGAGAACUCGGGAGAAGGAACUCGGCAAAUUGACACCGUAACUUCGGAAGAAGGUGUGCCGUAGUACCGUGAGAGGAGAGACACCUUGAGCGGGAAACGGUCUCAGAGAAUAGGUGGCUGCGACUGUUUAUUAAAAACACAGCACUCUGCAAAGUCGAAAGACGACGUAUAGGGUGUGAUGCCUGCCCGGUGCUGGAAGAUUAAUUGAUGGGGUGAGAGCCCUUGAUCGAAGUCCCAGUAAACGGCGGCCGUAACUAUAACGGUCCUAAGGUAGCGAAAUUCCUUGUC